rnacentral:rRNA from 1 species
CGUACACUCCUGCGGGAGGCAGCAGUGGGGAAUAUUGGACAAUGGGCGCAAGCCUGAUCCAGCCAUGCCGCGUGAGUGAUGAAGGCCCUAGGGUUGUAAAGCUCUUUCACCGGUGAAGAUAAUGACGGUAACCGGAGAAGAAGCCCCGGCUAACUUCGUGCCAGCAGCCGCGGUAAUACGAAGGGGGCUAGCGUUGUUCGGAUUUACUGGGCGUAAAGCGCACGUAGGCGGACUAUUAAGUCAGGGGUGAAAUCCCGGGGCUCAACCCCGGAACUGCCUUUGAUACUGGUAGUCGUGAGUUCGAGAGAGGUGAGUGGAAUUCCGAGUGUAGAGGUGAAAUUCGUAGAUAUUCGGAGGAACACCAGUGGCGAAGGCGGCUCACUGGCUCGAUACUGACGCUGAGGUGCGAAAGCGUGGGGAGCAAACAGGAUUAGAAACCCUGGUAGUCCC